CCUACGGGUGGCAGCAGUGAGGAAUAUUGGUCAAUGGGCGCGAGACUGAACCAGCCAAGUAGCGUGAAGGAGGAAUGCCCUACGGGUUGUAAACUUCUUUUAUAAAGGAAUAAAGUGAGGCACGUGUGCCUUUUUGUAUGUACUUUAUGAAUAAGGAUCGGCUAACUCCGUGCCAGCAGCCGCGGUAAUACGGAGGAUCCGAGCGUUAUCCGGAUUUAUUGGGUUUAAAGGGAGCGUAGAUGGGUUGUUAAGUCAGUUGUGAAAGUUUGCGGCUCAACCGUAAAAUUGCAAUUGAUACUGGCAGUCUUGAGUAGAGUUGAGGUAGGCGGAAUGCGUGGUGUAGCGGUGAAAUGCUUAGAUAUCACGAAGAACUCCGAUUGCGAAGGCAGCUUACUAACCUGCCACUGACAUUGAGGCUCGAAAGUGUGGGUAUCAAACAGGAUUAGAUACCCUUGUAGUC
rnacentral:rRNA from 1 species